rnacentral:rRNA from 1 species
UACGUAGGGGGCAAGCGUUGUCCGGAAUUAUUGGGCGUAAAGAGCUUGUAGGCGGUUUGUCGCGUCUGCUGUGAAAUCUCAAGGCUCAACCUUGAGCUUGCAGUGGGUACGGGCAGACUAGAGUGUGGUAGGGGAGACUGGAAUUCCUGGUGUAGCGGUGAAAUGCGCAGAUAUCAGGAGGAACGACCGAUGGCGAAGGCAGGUCUCUGGGCCACUACUGACGCUGAGAAGCGAAAGCAUGGGGAGCGAACAGG